UAACCUGCCCAAGAGACUGGGAUAACACCUGGAAACAGAUGCUAAUACCGGAUAACAACACUAGACGCAUGUCUAGAGUUUGAAAGAUGGUUCUGCUAUCACUCUUGGAUGGACCUGCGGUGCAUUAGCUAGUUGGUAAGGUAACGGCUUACCAAGGCAAUGAUGCAUAGCCGAGUUGAGAGACUGAUCGGCCACAUUGGGACUGAGACACGGCCCAAACUCCUACGGGAGGCAGCAGUAGGGAAUCUUCCACAAUGGACGAAAGUCUGAUGGAGCAACGCCGCGUGAGUGAAGAAGGGUUUCGGCUCGUAAAGCUCUGUUGGUAGUGAAGAAAGAUAGAGGUAGUAACUGGCCUUUAUUUGACGGUAAUUACUUAGAAAGUCACGGCUAACUACGUGCCAGCAGCCGCGGUAAUACGUAGGUGGCAAGCGUUGUCCGGAUUUAUUGGGCGUAAAGCGAGUGCAGGCGGUUCAAUAAGUCUGAUGUGAAAGCCUUCGGCUCAACCGGAGAAUUGCAUCAGAAACUGUUGAACUUGAGUGCAGAAGAGGAGAGUGGAACUCCAUGUGUAGCGGUGGAAUGCGUAGAUAUAUGGAAGAACACCAGUGGCGAAGGCGGCUCUCUGGUCUGCAACUGACGCUGAGGCUCGAAAGCAUGGGUAGCGAACAGGAUUAGAUACCCUGGUAGUCCAUGCCGUAAACGAUGAGUGCUAAGUGU
rnacentral:rRNA from 1 species